CAACUUCUGGCACCUGUUGUCGCAGUUUUCUGAGUGCCCACUGAGCUAUCCACAAGCUGGCCUCCUCUGAGGAGUACAACACUCCCAAACUACUUCUCUCAGCUUCCACCUAACUCUGCAGAACUCCCUUCCUUUAGCGAGACCAAACUUAGCUAGCAGUUAGAGGUCACCCAACUGUGCCAAUUCCUACUAAAUUGUAACAGAAAGCCCCCAGACCUCUGCAAUUGAAAAAGAAUCAGCCAUACUUACCACCACUAGUACAAGAAGAAGGGUCCACAGCUAGCACAGAUAAUUUGUGCCCUCUCUCAGUAAGCAUUUUUCCAAAAUAUUCUAUAAAUGUUGAUUUUCCAGCACCAGGGGGCCCAGACAAUCCUACGGUGGAAAGAGAUCUUCUAAUUCAAUGAAACAAAUGAAAUCAGAACUACGAUCAGUUUUACUGAGUAAAAUAUUAGACUACCUUCUAUUUCCCCUAAUGUAUUAAAACCAC
rnacentral:lncRNA from 1 species